rnacentral:rRNA from 1 species
UUAAAACCCAAAGGACUUGGCGGUGCUUUAGAUCCACCUAGAGGAGCCUGUUCUAGAACCGAUAAUCCCCGUUAAACCUCACCUUUCCUUGUCUUUUUCCGCCUAUAUACCGCCGUCGUCAGCUUACUCUGUGAAGAACCUGCAGUAGGCGCAAUCGGUACAGCCCAAAACGCCAGGUCGAGGUGUAGCGAAUGGAAAGGGAAGAAAUGGGCUACAUUCAAUAUUUUAUUGAACACGGACGACACCCUGAAAAAAGUGUCUGAAGGAGGAUUUAGCAGUAAGCAGAGAAUAGAGAGCCCUGCUGAAACUGGCCCUGAAGCGCGCACACACCGCCCGUCACUCUCCCCGAGCUAAUAAACUCUUUUUAACUAAAAAAUAAAACCUGUAAAGGGGAGGCAAGUCGUAACAUGGUAAGUGUACCGGAAGUUGCACUUGGAUAAACU